rnacentral:rRNA from 1 species
GACGAACGCUGGCGGCGUGCCUAAUACAUGCAAGUCGAGCGAGCGGCGGACGGGUGAGUAACACGUAAGGAACCUACCGAUAAGCGGGGGACAACAUCCGGAAACGGGUGCUAAUACCGCAUACGUAGAGAUGGCCUUGCGGUGCAUUAGCUCGUUGGUGGGGUAACGGCCUACAAAGGCAACGAUGCAUAGCCGACCUGAGAGGGUAAUCGGCCACAUUGGGACUGAGACACGGCCCAGACUCCUACGGGAGGCAGCAGUAGGGAAUCUUCCGCAAUGGGCGCAAGCCUGACGGAGCAACGCCGCGUGAGUGAAGAAGGUUUUCGGAUCGUAAAGCUCUGUUGUAAGAGAAGCGGUAUCUAACCAGAAAGCCACGGCUAACUACGUGCCAGCAGCCGCGGUAAUUC